rnacentral:rRNA from 1 species
UAGUCCACGCCGUAAACGAUGUCAACUAGCCGUUGGGAGCAUAUAAGCUCUGAGUGGCGCAACUAACGCGAUAAGUUGACCGCCUGGGGAGUACGGUCGCAAGGCUAAAACUCAAAGGAAUUGACGGGGGCCCGCACAAGCGGUGGAGUAUGUGGUUUAAUUCGAAGCAACGCGCAGAACCUUACCUACCCUUAACAUUUCACGACGUAUACAGAGAUGUAUAUUUCUCUUCGGAGACGUGAGGAUAGGUGCUGCAUGGCUGUCGUCAGCUCGUGUCGUAAGAUGUCUGGUUAAGUCCAAUAACGAGCGCAACCCUUAUCCUUAGUUACCAGCAUUAAGUUGGGGACUCUAGGGAGACUGCCGGUGUUAAACCGGAGGAAGGCGGGGAUGACGUCAAGUCCUCAUGGCCCUUACGGGUAGGGCUACACACGUACUACAAUGGCAGAUACAAACCGUUUGCAAAGCCGCGAGGUUGAGCUAAUCGGUAAAAUACUGUCCCAGUCCGGAUUGGAGUCUGCAA